rnacentral:rRNA from 2 species
GAGCGGCGGACGGGUGAGUAAUGCCUAGGAAAUUGCCCUGAUGUGGGGGAUAACCAUUGGAAACGAUGGCUAAUACCGCAUAAUGCCUACGGGCCAAAGAGGGGGACCUUCGGGCCUCUCGCGUCAGGAUAUGCCUAGGUGGGAUUAGCUAGUUGGUGAGGUAAUGGCUCACCAAGGCGACGAUCCCUAGCUGGUCUGAGAGGAUGAUCAGCCACACUGGAACUGAGACACGGUCCAGACUCCUACGGGAGGCAGCAGUGGGGAAUAUUGCACAAUGGGCGCAAGCCUGAUGCAGCCAUGCCGCGUGUGUGAAGAAGGCCUUCGGGUUGUAAAGCACUUUCAGUCGUGAGGAAGGUAGUGUAGUUAAUAGCUGCAUUAUUUGACGUUAGCGACAGAAGAAGCACCGGCUAACUCCGUGCCAGCAGCCGCGGUAAUACGGAGGGUGCGAGCGUUAAUCGGAAUUACUGGGCGUAAAGCGCAUGCAGGUGGUUUGUUAAGUCAGAUGUGAAAGCCCGGGGCUCAACCUCGGAAUAGCAUUUGAAACUGGCAGACUAGAGUACUGUAGAGGGGGGUAGAAUUUCAGGUGUAGCGGUGAAAUGCGUAGAGAUCUGAAGGAAUACCGGUGGCGAAGGCGGCCCCCUGGACAGAUACUGACACUCAGAUGCGAAAGCGUGGGGAGCAAACAGGAUUAGAUACCCUGGUAGUCCACGCCGUAAACGAUGUCUACUUGGAGGUUGUGGCCUUGAGCCGUGGCUUUCGGAGCUAACGCGUUAAGUAGACCGCCUGGGGAGUACGGUCGCAAGAUUAAAACUCAAAUGAAUUGACGGGGGCCCGCACAAGCGGUGGAGCAUGUGGUUUAAUUCGAUGCAACGCGAAGAACCUUACCUACUCUUGACAUCCAGAGAACUUUCCAGAGAUGGAUUGGUGCCUUCGGGAACUCUGAGACAGGUGCUGCAUGGCUGUCGUCAGCUCGUGUUGUGAAAUGUUGGGUUAAGUCCCGCAACGAGCGCAACCCUUAUCCUUGUUUGCCAGCGAGUAAUGUCGGGAACUCCAGGGAGACUGCCGGUGAUAAACCGGAGGAAGGUGGGGACGACGUCAAGUCAUCAUGGCCCUUACGAGUAGGGCUACACACGUGCUACAAUGGCGCAUACAGAGGGCAGCAAGCUAGCGAUAGUGAGCGAAUCCCAAAAAGUGCGUCGUAGUCCGGAUUGGAGUCUGCAACUCGACUCCAUGAAGUCGGAAUCGCUAGUAAUCGUGGAUCAGAAUGCCACGGUGAAUACGUUCCCGGGCCUUGUACACACCGCCCGUCACACCAUGGGAGUGGG